UUGCGCAUUGCGAGCAUAGGUUAAAAGCUAUCUUUCUCUCUCGCACCCAACUUGGACACAGAUUUUUACAUGGAGAACAAUAGCAAUUCCCCUUCCAGUAAUAUAUGUUCUAAGGAUUAUACUGUGCUUUAGGGCCUGAGCAGAAUGGCUGACUUAUAACCUUAAAACACUGUUUUAUGCCCUAAGUCUUUGUCUUAGGUAACGCACAAUACUGUGUUAAUGUUUCCUGUCUUGUGUAGUAUACGCGACGUUUUAAGGAAUAAACGUAAAACGUAUAUUAAAAUGAUGUAUAGAAAUAAGCAAUUUUUAUUGCUUGUUUUACAAUGGAUGCUUUUGUAUAAAUUAUUAAAACGAAAAAAAAAAA